rnacentral:ncRNA from 2 species
CCCUAAUCCAUCCUCCGAGCUGCGGUGCCUAAAGACGUGAGGUCCAGGGUUCGCAGCCGUCUAGGGUGUCCCUGGAAACGGGGGUGCCUCCCUUCCGGAAAGGAGGACGGCAAUCCAUGCC